rnacentral:rRNA from 1 species
GACGAACGCUGGCGGCGUGCUUAACACAUGCAAGUCGAACGGAAAGGCCCUGCUUUUGUGGGGUGCUCGAGUGGCGAACGGGUGCGUAACACGUGAGUAACCUGCCCUUGACUUUGGGAUAACUUCAGGAAACUGGGGCUAAUACCGGAUAGGAGCUCCUGCUGCAUGGUGGGGGUUGGAAAGUUUCGGCGGUUGGGGAUGGACUCGCGGCUUAUCAGCUUGUUGGUGGGGUAGUGGCUUACCAAGGCUUUGACGGGUAGCCGGCCUGAGAGGGUGACCGGCGACAUUGGGACUGAGAUACGGCCCAGAGUCCUACGGGAGGCAGCGGUGGGGAAUAUUGCACAAUGGGCGGAAGCCUGAUGCAGCAACGCCGCGUGCGGGAUGACGGCCUUCGGGUUGUAAACCGCUUUCGCCUGUGACGAAGCGUGAGUGACGGUAAUGGGUAAAGAAGCACCGGCUAACUACGUG